GCGCUCGUAGCUCAGCUGGAUAGAGCAUCAGCCUUCUAAGCUGAGGGCCAGUGGUUCGAAUCCACUCGGGCGUA
rnacentral:tRNA from 1 species